CGGCGGACGGGUGAGUAACGCGUGGGUAACCUGCCUUAUACAGGGGGAUAACAGUUAGAAAUGACUGCUAAUACCGCAUAAGCGCACAGUACCGCAUGGUAGUGUGUGAAAAACUCCGGUGGUAUAAGAUGGACCCGCGUCUGAUUAGCUGGUUGGCGGGGUAGAAGCCCACCAAGGCGACGAUCAGUAGCCGGCCUGAGAGGGUGAACGGCCACAUUGGGACUGAGACACGGCCCAAACUCCUACGGAAGGCAGCAG
rnacentral:rRNA from 1 species